rnacentral:rRNA from 1 species
AUUGAACGCUGGCGGCAGGCCUAACACAUGCAAGUCGAGCGAGUGGCGGACGGGUGAGUAAUGUAUGGGGAUCUGCCCGAUAGAGGGGGAUAACUACUGGAAACGGUGGCUAAUACCGCAUACUAUCGGAUGUGCCCAUAUGGGAUUAGCUAGUAGGUGGGGUAAAGGCUCACCUAGGCGACGAUCCCUAGCUGGUCUGAGAGGAUGAUCAGCCACACUGGAACUGAGACACGGUCCAGACUCCUACGGGAGGCAGCAGUGGGGAAUAUUGCACAAUGGGCGCAAGCCUGAUGCAGCCAUGCCGCGUGUAUGAAGAAGGCCUUCGGGUUGUAAAGUACUUUCAGUCGGGAGGCGUUACCGACAGAAGAAGCACCGGCUAACUCCGUGCCAGCAGCCGCGGUAAUAC